rnacentral:rRNA from 1 species
CAAUAGCGUAUAUUAAAGUUGUUGCAGUUAAAAAGCUCGUAGUUGGAUUUCGGGUUGGCUUCAGCGGUCUCGCUUUGCGUUUGUACUGCUGCAGCCUACCUUCUUGUCGGGGACGGGCCUUCGGGCUUAAUUGCUUGGGGCCCGGAGUCGACGAUGUUACUUUGAGUAAAUUAGAGUGUUCAAAGCAAGCCUACGCUCUGAAUAUAAUAGCAUGGGAUAACACGACAGGACUCUGGCCUAUCGUGUUGGUCUGUAGGACCAGAGUAAUGAUUAAGAGGGACAGUCGGGGGCAUUCGUAUUCCGUUGUCAGAGGUGAAAUUCUUGGAUUUACGGAAGACGAACAUCUGCGAAAGCAUUUGCCAAGGAUGUUUUCAUUGA